AAGCCAAGAUGGUCGGGACUGAUCUCCAAUACCUACUCACCAUUGGGCAAUCCCAGAACAGAUGUAAGUGAUCUGCCUCGGAAUCACCACAACGUGGGCAGUCAGAGGAGGCCCUGAGUCCUCUUCUAUAUAACCAUAUGGGUGUCAC